rnacentral:rRNA from 1 species
CCUACGGGGCGCAGCAGUGAGGAAUAUUGGUCAAUGGGCGGGAGCCUGAACCAGCCAAGCCGCGUGAAGGAAGAAGGCGCCAGGCGUCGUAAACUUCUUUUGUCGGGGAACAAAGGGCGCCACGUGUGGCGUUGUGAGUGUACCCGAAGAAAAAGCAUCGGCUAACUCCGUGCCAGCAGCCGCGGUAAUACGGAGGAUGCGAGCGUUAUCCGGAUUUACUGGGUGUAAAGGGAGCGUAGACGGCAGGGCAAGUCUGGAGUGAAAGGCGGGGGCUCAACCCCCGGACUGCUCUGGAAACUGCCAGG